rnacentral:rRNA from 1 species
AUUGAACGCUGGCGGCAGGCCUAACACAUGCAAGUCGAACGAGUGGCGGACGGGUGAGUCAUGGCUGGGAAACUGCCCGAUGGAGGGGGAUAACUACUGGAAACGGUAGCUAAUACCGCAUACCAUCGGAUGUGCCCAGAUGGGAUUAGCUAGUCGGUGGGUUCACGGCUCACCUAGGCGACGAUCCCUAGCUGGUCUGAGAGGAUGACCGGCGACACUGGAACUGGGACACGGCCCAGACUCCUACGGGAGGCAGCAGUGGGGAAUAUUGCACAAUGGGCGCAAGCCUGAUGCAGCCAUGCGGCGUGUAUGAAGAAGGCCUUCGGGGUGUAAAGUACUUUCAGCGGGGAGGCGUUACCCGCAGAAGAAGCACCGGCUAACUCCGUGCCAGCAGCCGCGGUAAUUC